rnacentral:lncRNA from 1 species
CUCAAAUUUGCAAUAACUAACUGAAUUUGGAGAUCGAUACAGAUUGGUUCGUAGUUCACAUGUAAGUUAAGUUAGUACUAAAUUUUGCUUCGAUUUUCAGGAACUUUGAAAUUUAAAUGAUAUUCUGAAUUUCUUGCAAUAUUACAUAUUUUGUUAAAGAUUAUUUGACAUGAAAUUACAAUGGUGUAAUCAUUUGUUUUGCAUUUUCAAUAGGUUAUCAGUGGUGGCUAUUUUUCUGCAAUAAUUAUUUCAAAACUACAAAAUGGGUCGUUGUUCCCGGAACUGGAAAAACUCAUGCAAAAGUCAUCAUAGAAUCGUCUGAGAUUUUACUUCUGAGCGAUCUUAGGAGUUGCUCUGAGGCUAGGAAAUUGUUACAUUUGAUGUUCAGUCAUAAGUUGGCAUUACAUCAAGAUCAUGCUGAAUAUGGUUGAAAUAUAAUGUAUAUAUAUAUAUAUAACAGAUCAAAACAAUGAAUAACGAAAGAUAAAUUCCUUUUGAAGUCCAAACCAAGUUGGUACCGUCGCAUAAUAUUAUACUAUUACUUCCUAAAGAUGAUGUUAUUAUGCAUUAUUAUUUAAAUUAUUACAUGAGCUGUCUUUUAUAUAUUGGAAGUGUAUUAAUUCGAUGAUUAAUGAAAUGAUAACUUACAAUCAUUAAUCAUGUUUGCAACCGGUGAAUGUACUAAAAAUUUAAAAACUAAAUGUUUAUUUUAGUAUCUCAAAACAAUAAAUUGAGAUACUGUUACUAGGAUCUAUUUAUAGAUUAUCGUCAUUUCUAUUUUAAAUUUAUUCGGAUUUUCUGUAAAUUAUGUAUUCAUGGUAUUUUGAUGUGUACAAGGAAGAACAUUUCAAGUUAUACUAGGAUAACUAACUUAUUAAUGAAUGAACAUGUUCUAAAAAAUGUAAACGGUUAUAAUACGUAUUCAUGUUUAUUUUUUAAUAUUAAAAUGAAAGUACUUCAGUUUAUUAUGCAUGUUAUGUAUGUCAGCAACAUAAAUCCUUUUGAUUUUUCUACGCUUUACACUACUAUUCCCCAUGCUCAAUUGAAAAUCGACUUCACCAUCUCAUUUAACAGAGCUUUUCUAUAAAAAUGGGUAUUGUAAUUAGAAAUUUCUUGUUUGUUGUUACAAUAAAUUCAUAUUUUUUAAGAGCCACACUGAAUCUACCAGAAAAUAUACUUAAGAUGUAUAGAGACACACAAACGUUAAAUUUUAUCUCUAAAAAGUUCGCUCCUUAAUAUCCUACCACCUGUCGAUACAUUUAUUUUUGGCAUUGCACAAGUCAUAUCUUCUCUGACUGUUCAUGACGUUAAAAAUACUAAAUCCCUGGGAUGUGUUUUAGUUGAUUUUAGCCUCUGACGCAUGAUUUUUAAUUGUUAAUUGUUUUGGGUUUUAACUAGCUGUCAGUAACUGCGAGUACUCUCAAAUCGUGCUUUCUUGUUAAUUUGACCUGUUGAUAUUUUUUGCCAAUGUAAUAUUUUUUUGUUUUUUUUUAUAUUAAUACUGAUCUUGUCUAUAUACCAGCUUAAGUUUGAUUAUUUUGAAUAUCUACUAAUUUUCACUUUUUCGUACUAUGAACAUCAAAAUUAUUCUCCUUAAAUCUGUAAGGGAAGUUUGAUCUAAUCCCAGAUCAUUCACUAUUACUUUGUGAUCUAAUUAUCGGAUGCAAAUAUGAAUCUAGUAAAACAAAUUACGAUAUUAACUCGGAUGAUCAAAACAAGAAAUUUAAAGUGACAAAUCUACCAAACGAUUUUAUGAAUAGAGAUGAAAAAGAUACCAAGUCAAUGAAGUUAUCAUGAGUAUUGAAAAUUCAAUUCGAAUUACUGAAAAUGUUCAAACUGCGUAUGAAUUGUAAAAUAAGUAAUAGUAAAUGAACGGAAAACAUGCGUGCCAUGGGCAGUCGUUGAUGAAAAUGGAAACGUGAAAACGGACAAAGAAAGCGUUCUGAACAAAUUGAAAAACGAUUUUCAUACAUUAUUUUAAAGUGAAUCUACAGAAAACCAACAAGCAAAUGACACUUUUGAUUCAAAGGACAAGGUACGAUAAGGCCUGUUUUUGGCCCCUCUUUUUCCCAUUUUUCAAAUUCUGUUUUGGUAAUCUACUUAUUAUGUUCAAAUAUUCCCUGAGGUUUGAAGUUUGUUUGGGUGAAUUUCAAAACCACAAAGUAGAACUGUAUAUGAUAUUUGGAGUUGAAUAUCACGUCGACGGAAAGGCUGGAAUACGGAGCUGAACAAGAUGGUGAACUAAUUGGAAAUUAGGAACAUUGUUAGUGAUGUAUCAUUAACUACAAAAGUAGCCAUGAAAAAAGUCACUGAACAAGUUAACAUCUAAAAUAUUAGAAUGGCAGAGAGAAUUCUUUAACGAUCGCGGAAAAGAAAAUGGAAAUAAACUUAUAACAUACAGGCAAUACAAAAGCAACUGUUCUGUGGAACCGUAUGUGUGAAAAACUUUUCCACGGUCGUACCGCCGUGUAAUGGCCCUGUUUUGUGCAGGCUUGCUCCCGUUAGCCAUCGAGACUGGAAGAUACACCAAGCCGCUAAUACCUGUUGAAGACCGUUUAUGUGUUUAUUGCUCUGACAAUAGUGUUAAAACUGAGAAACAUUUUUUAUUGAACUGUUAUAUAAUGACUUAAGAUUUGACCUUUAAUCAGAAUGUUCACAAAAUAUUAAUAGUUUUGGAAAUUUGAAUGACAAUUUAAAAUUUAUACAAAUCAUGAAUUGCUCCGAGAUUCAGCCAUUUUUAUGUAAAAGUAUUCAGAAGUUUUUUUUGUGUUUUUUUGCGACGUAAAUUAUUUACAUAUUUUUUAACUAUUUUUCAUGCGACAUAAAUCAUGUAAAUUGUUUACUUAAAUUUUUAACCGUGAAAAAUUAUUUUAUUUCAUUCUGUUUAUUUAAAUUAUGCAUAUCAGUUGUUUUUUCCCCGAAGUGGAAAUUGUUAAAAUGUAAGCUUUUAAUUAUUUAUUGGAAAGAAGAAAGCUUCUGCUACAUAAAUAUGGGCUGUUUUUGACAAUACAUUUACAUAUAUCGAGAACUAGCAUCAUUGAGUCAUGCUAAAUUACUGAAAUAUUCACAAUUUUAGCAUUUUAGUUAAAUUUUAGACGGUUUCCGUCUUCAACGAAAGUGGCCGCAUUUGGGUUCAUUCUUAAAAUUCAAAUGUAAGUUGUAUUUGAUGAUAACGCAUGACAUAUAUAAAGAUUGAGGGUGAACACGGAUGCGUGUUAUUUUUGACAAAAAAACAUCUAAAAAGUGACAUUUUGGGCAUAUUUGAUAGAUUUUUCAUAUUUUAGCUUGAGUCGGAGCACUUUUGAUGACUAAUUCAGUUGAAAUCUUUCACAUCAACUAAUUGAAACCACUGAAAUAGACACUUUAGUGUUUAAAAAAUGUCUAAAAUCUUUUGUCAUAUGAACCUCAAAUUUGAGGCCAAAAUCAGCCCUUACUGGACCUACCCCCUUAUUCGUUCAUAGUGAGUUAAUUUACGUUUUUUGAUUGAGUUAAGCCUUCCAAUUGAUAUUUUAUCGUGUGUUUUUCUAUUUUGUGAUGUUAUACUAUUGUUUCAGAAAAAGGGAGAAUUUUUGGUACCAUUAAAACGUUUAAUUCCGCUGCAAAUGUUUGCACCUGUCCUAAGUCAGGAAUCUGAUGUACAGUAGUUGUCGUUUGUUUAUGUAAUUAAUACGUGUUUCUCGUUUCUUGUUUUUUUAUUUAGAUUAGAUGGUUGGUUUUCCCGUUUGAAUGGUUUAACACUAGUAAUUUUGGGGACCUUUACAGCUUGUUGUUCGGUGUGGGCCAAUGCUCCGUGUUGAAGGCCGUACCUUGACCUAUAAUGGUUUACUUUUAAAAAUAGUUUUUUGGAUGGUGAGUUGUCUCAUUGGCACUCAUACCACAUUUUCCUAUAUCUUUUAUGAUGAUAUUAUCAAAAUACUGGACUUUUUGAUCGACAAUAUAUUUCAGAUAGUCUGUAUUCAAAUGGCUACUUAUUGUGCACCCCUACUGACCGAUUUGUUUUUGUAUUCGUAUGAAGCAGAAUUCAUUCAAAAUCUUCUGACAGACAAAAAGAAAAAACACCUUGCGAAAUUCUUUUAUUUUACUUUUAGAUAUAUUGAUAGUGUCCUAACAUUGCAUUACCCAUGUUUCAACCAAUACUUACAUCUCAUAUAUCUCAGUGAACUUUAAAUUCAGGAUACUUCUGAUACUAAAAGGACUGCAUCAUACCUUGAAAUUUUCCUCAAUAUUCACACAAAUGAACGACUUCACACGAAAAUCUAUGAUAAAUGGGACAUUUUCAAAUUCCAAAUUAUCAAUUUCCCAUUUCUCAGCAGUUACAUAACCUCUGCCCUUUCGUAUGGUGUUUACAGAUAUCAGUUGAUACGUUAUGCUCGUGCAUAUUCACACUAUACAGACUUCUUAUACAGGAGUUUGCUCCUAACGCAGAAAAUGCUCCAAUGCUUAAAAAUGACACUCCGUAUUUCAUGGACACCAUCACGGAUUGUAUGAUCCAUACGAUGUGUGGUUGUCCAAACUAACUAAAGACAUUUUAACACAUGUUAAAUUGCGGUUUGCCAUUACGUCGUCUAAUCUUGUAAGUACCGAACGUGACUUAUUCCCAAUUGUGUCUGUUUUACUGAUUGUGAAUUCGCAUUGCUGUAAGACGUGUCACGGUAUUUUUUUUAUCCAAAAUUCAUGUAUUUAGUUUUGAUGUUAUAUUUGUUAUUCUCAUCGGAUUUUAUCAAAUAUCUUAUCGUUUGUAGUUUUAAAUCUUUUCGUUUUUUCCUUGUUCUAUUAAUCACCAAAUUCAUUUAUUAGAUUUAAGUUUGUGUCAACUAAAUUGAGACGAUGUAUUUGGUUUACAAUUAAUUAUCUAAUUACUACCACUAUUUCAUAUAAAUAAGUAUUGUAUUUUGCAUUGUUGUUAAUACAUAUUAUAUCAGUAUUACAAACCUAAUCUAUAACUCUAUCCUAUUUGGGGGGGGGGAUAUUAGGGAUUUUCUUCUCCCAUGCAAUUAACCUUGGUCGUAUUUAGCACAACAGUUUGAAAAUUUUGGUCCUCAAUACUCUUUAACUUUGUACUAGUUUUGGCUUUCGAAAUUUUUUAUCUGAGCGUCACUGAUGAGUCUUAUGUAUACGAAACGCGCGUCUGGCGUUUAGAUUAUAAGCCUGGUACCUUUCGAUAGCUAUUAUUUGUGCGUUAAUCUUGUUCUGCACGUUCUCCCAUUUAUUUGUAUUGACGUCCUGUCAUGUAGUGUUGUCAUUUUAAGGAUAUAUUUUAUAUUGCCAUUAAAGCAGAAGGUUUGGCUAGCCACAAAACUAGGUUCAAACCCCCAUUGUUCUUAAAAUGUCCUGUACCAAGUCAGGAAAAUGGCCAUUGUUAUAUAUGAAUUCAUGAAUGCAAAACUUUUUAUAAUUUUUUUUUUAAAUGCCAGAUUAAGCAAUGCGUGUAUAGGAUUUUGGAAAUCGUAUUGAUUAACAUAACAUAGUAUAUAGAUUGAUAUUAUUAUGACCUAUAAUGGUUUACUUUUAAAAAAUUGUGACUUGGAUCGAGAGGUGAGUCAUUAGCACUUACACAAAAUUUUCUUAUAUCUAUUAAUUGAAAAUGACGUUUUAAUCUAUGAUAGCGUUGGAUAAAAACCUCAUUUUUAUACGUGUAAAAGUAGUUUAUUGAUUCAGCGAACUUAGAUAUAAUGAUUUAGGCCAAUUUUUGUUUAAUUUUGCCCAGUCGUUAAAUUCAUUUUUUGAAGAAACAUGUUUUUCUAAAAAAAAUCUAAUGUUCUAUUAUGGAAUUUUGAAGACCUUUUAUCAAUUGAUAAUUUUAAAGACGCCAAAAAUCACGAUAGUCAAAUUUAGUGGAAUUUAAAUAUAAACUUUAGAUUGUGAAAAAUGUAAGCUAUUAUAUGACAACCCCAACGUAAAUGUUCUAUAGCUUCUGGAUCUUACUUGCAAAAUGUAUACAAGUUACAGUUUUAAAAUAACUUAAAAAGGUUCGUUUCAAAGAGUAGAGCAUUUGUAUCCAAUAUAAAAUUGAGAAUGGAAAUGGGGAAUGUGUUAAAGAGACAACAACCCGACCAUUGAAAAAAACAACAGCAGAAGGUCACCAACAGGUUUUCAAUGUAGCGAGAAAUUCCCGCACCCGAAGGCGUCCUUCAGCUGGCCCCUUAACAAAUAUAUACUAGUUCAGUGAUAAUGAACGCCAUACUAAUUUCCAAAAUUGUACACAAGAAACUAAAAUUAAAAUAAUACAGACUAACAAAGGCCAGAGGCUCCUGACUUGGGACAGGCGCAAAAAUGCGGCGGCUUUAAACAUGUUUGUGAGAUCUGAACCAUUCCCUAUACCUCUAGCCAAUGUAGAAAAGUAAAAUGAAUAAUUUCAUAUUGAAACUAUCAUAACAUUGUGUUUUAUAAUCAAUGGUAACAUAAAAGUUUGGUUUUUUUCAAAUUUCUUCAACUUUACUCAAAAUACCGUCCAAUGUUUUGUGUUGCCAAGUUUUGUUAAAUUUCGCCCAGAAGUUUCAGUAAAGGAGAUUUUUGUAAAAGAUAAUGACGACGGACGACGACAGACGCCAAGUGAUGAGAAAAGCUAAUUUAAUCCUGGUACCUUUGAUAACUAUUAACCCUAAAGGCGAUGUUAACAAAGUAUAAAUUGGUGGUUAAAUUAUUUUGCUGAAUUAUGAACAACCGUAAAAAGUAGUGAACCCAAAAUGUUGAAUACAUGAUUAGGUCAAAACCUUUUAUAAAACCUUUUGCAAAAAGAACCAAAAAAACAACCAUACAGACACAGGAAUCCUUUAACAAAUAUUAAAUCAAUUGGCAGAACAAAUAAUUUUUAAUCAUUGCCUAUCAAAACAAAAGUGGUAUUAUGUGCAGAAAACACUGACAUUAAAAUAAGUGCGUUACAAUAAAAACAUUGUUCUUUUUUCAAAUAGUCAAAAGUAUAGGUUUUAUGGUGUCUUUCUAUAACAGAUUUUCUACAAAGGCACGACAGUUUUUAAUUUAUCUAAUCUUGUAUUUGUGUCUAUGAAUAUAGCAUUUUUCAAUUGAUCCUAUCGAAAGACUUAUCAUAUUCCCAACCUAGCAAUACAUAUGCACAUUUUUGUAUAUCUCACAUUAUCUUUAUUGAAUGACGAUCUCAUGACCUUAAUGACAGGUUGUAGUAAAAUUCUUAUCAAUUAUACCACAUCUUCUGCUAUUUUUUUUUAAAUUGUCCGUUUAUAAAUUUCGAAAUUAUAAGAAACUAAGAUUUAACUCCCUCAGGCAAAGUUGAUGGAUGUGGCUAUGUUUAUGUACUUUUAAGUUAUAUAACUCUUGAUCUGUAUAGAUUUAUGUACAUCCCUGGCUUUCAAAUACCAGUAUUUUUUUCAUUUUUAUCUAUCCUUGUUAUUGUUGCUCACCCAAUUAUUUGUAAUUAACAAAAUUUCAGCAACUGUCGUACAAGUUGUAAUUUAAGCUCGCUAUAAAACAAGCUUUAACCCAUCAUUUUCUUUGGAAAUGCUUGAACCAAGUCAGGAAUAUGAUAGUUGUUUUUCACUUGUUCCGUUAAUUUAUAUUGAAUUUGUCAGUUUUUAUUGAUCUCCCCUUGUUAAGUUUUCAUGGAGAUCGGCAUUUUUAUUAUACUCCAUUUUUACAGGCCAACUAUGGAUUAUUUCGUCUUGUACAUGUAUAUAUAUAUGUUUUUGUAUUUCAUAUCUGACGUUCAUAUUAGUUGGUAAUUUAUAUAUCAUCUAUACUUCUAUUAUGCUUCAGAUUUCAUGACAAACAAUGCCGAAAGUUUGCAUAAUCUAUUUGUUCAAUGAAGACACAAUAUUAGGUUUUUCCUUACAAUGAUCAAAUGUGUUGAUAAAAUUUGCGAUUCCUUUGAAAAUAGUUUUCCUCGUCACUAGAUAGUUCGACAAAACCUGUCAACCAUAGUGAUGGAAAUAUCAAAAAUGGCUUUAUCUGAUGCGCUUACAUUUAUUUUCACGAUGUUCGUAUUUAUGGUACGAACUUUUUAUUAAUCUAUGAUUUAUUAAAAUUCCAGAUGAUUUUGACAUUUCAAUGUUAAUACCAUGAAGGAUAAUUUCAUACAUUACAUGUAUUAUUUUAUGUCAGAUGUGUUGAAUGCUUUUCUUCUAUUGGUUAAUAGUUUGGCACAGAGUAAAUUUUAUAUUUUAAACAUUUAGACACAUGCGACGCCUAUUUUUUAUGUUGUAUCUAAAAAGGUUAUCUUAAUGGUCAUAUUCCUAGUGGAAGCGGAUUUAAGAGACAACACAUGUAUAAUACUUAAUUAUGUAAAUAUCAAAACAACCAGAUGUACAACACAGAUAUCUUACAUCACACGUUCUUAUAUUUGCCAAGUAGAAAUAUUCAAGACAGAAAUCAAUGAUUUUAUAACAAAGUAACUUAUGGUAUAUAACAAAUUACAUUGAUUGAUAACGUUUGAUUUUGUCAGUUUGUAUGGACGUCCCCUUUUUUUAUUUCAAUAAUCGUAAAUUUAAAAAAAAAUUAAAAUUAGUUAUUUCAUUUUACACUCCAUAACGAUAUGUUGUUAUAUUUCAGUAACCAUGAGUAUAUCACAUCAAAGUGGAAAUUGUCCAAAUUGCAGAGAAAAUAUCAAUGAAGGUCAACGGUUUUGCGAACACUGUGGAUAUAAAAUUGAAGCGAGUAGAUCGGCAAUGAUUUGCCUGGGGAAAAUGGAGGAUGGCAAUCAAUGUAACGGAUUGCUGAGAAACGAUGCAAGUUUUUGCCCAAACUGUGGGACGCGAAGCCAUAUUUUAGGUAAAAUCAGAGUCAAUGCAUUUGACCAUUUGAUAAUGUUUAAUACAAUAAUACUAAAAGUGUUACACACUUAGUCAGGUGCCUGUUGUUCAGUGGUUAUUGUUUGUUGAUGUGCUUCAAAACUUUAAAGUGUUUCUCGUUUUUCAUAAUUUAUAUACAUUAGACCGUUGGUUUUCUUGUUUGAAUUGGUCUACACUUGUCAUUUUCGGGCUCUGUAUAGCUUCCUGGUCGGUGUGAACCAAGGCUCCACGUUGAAGACCGUACUUUGACCUAUAAUGGUUUACUUUUUACAUAUAGUGACUCGGGUGGAUAGCUAUCUAAUUUGCUCUCAUACCGCAUUUUCUUAUUUAUAUCAAUUAUUAAGGCAUAUAUUCUAUUUGAGAUUUUAAACGUAUUUACAUUGAGAAAAAUAUUUGCAUAUAACAUGUUGAACUCAUACCAAAAUAGUGUAGAUGAUUGGUACAAUGCCGUAACAGAUAUUUGCUGCUAACAUCUUUUGAGAUCGUACAGAUUUUAUGUUAAUAUUGUAACAUUACACGUGUUUUCCCUGACAUUGUAAAUAUCAUGAUUUGAAAAACAAUCAAAAGCUUGACUUCUAAUUUUAUGGUUGUACAGCGUUGAUCGUGGGCGCAUUAUUGAUAUGAAAUGUUCUUUAUUCAACACUUUAAAACAUCAAUAUAAGUGUAAAGAAACUCUCAACUCUUAAAAAAAACAUUUUAACUUGUUCAGUCUAUGUUCAAACUGUUCAGUAAUAAACACAUUUAUUCGAAAACCAGUUUUUGGCUUGACAUGGGUUAUGUUCUUCUCAUAUAUUUCAUGAUGGUAUAAUACUAAACCCCUAACAGGAUGGAUUGUACCUGAUAUUCAUAUGAUGAAGACAAUCUUUCAAUCCGUUUAAUUCAGGUCUGAGCUGGCAUGUCAGUAACUGCUAGUAGUCAUUCAUUUGUUAUUCAUGUAUUAUUGUCAUUUUGUUUAUUUAUUAUUUUUUUCAUAUUCUGACAUCUGACUCGGACUUCUCUUUAACUUAGUUUUACUGUGCGUAUUGUUGUGCGUUUGGAUUUUUUUACAUUGGCUAGAGGUAUAGGAGGAGGGUUGAGAUCUCAAAAAACAUGUUUAACCCCGUCGCAAUUUUGCGCCUGUCACUAUAUGCUAUAUCAAUUGUAAUCUUACAUUUAUGAGUAUGCAAGAAAAAAGGAACCUGAUGUUCAGUAGUUGUCGUUUGUUGAUAUUGUUAAUAAAAUGUUUCUCGUUUUUUAUAUAGAUAUAUACCAAAUAUUCUUAUAUCUUCUAAACAAUUAAGCUGUUAUUAAUGCUUUAAUUGCAUUCAGUUUUGUUUAACGUAGCACAAGCAUCAGCAUCAAAUAUGGUUACCGAAGGAGCUCACAGUGAAUUAUUAUAUACAAGAUCUGCUGACGAUGAAGGUGGAGAUAUUUGGGAAAUCAGUGGCGCAGUACUUGAAGAUGAAGGUAUUUUUUUUUCCAAAAUUAGCAAGAUUGUAUUCCGUUUUUAAAAGGGUUCUCAUAUUCGAUUAAGAACAAUGUAAAAAAAAACAUUCAUCCAAAUUAUAAAAAGUAUAAAAUAAACAAAUUACAAGGCAUGGGCUCGAUAAUAUGUAACUUCGUUCCCUGUCUAUAUGAGUAAAGACGCCAUCUAUUCAACUAUCGAGUUGAAAUCCGAAUACCUCCGAUGGCCAUAUAAGAGAUAUAAACAUAAAGAUAAAUAUAAAUAAGACAGCGAAAUCGUCCUGUUAGAUUUUCUAGGUCUGUUUAAUUUGUAUUAUAGAUUAAAACCAGAUGUUAAUCGUACUUAUGACCUGUAUUAGAAUGUUUUUUGUGGAUCGAAUCAGUCAAUCAAACGAUUUACCUUUGUAUCUCUUUCAAUUGUCCUUUAAAUAACAAGACACGUACAAUUCAUGCGUAAUACAUCUGUAGCAUAGGGGUUAAAUUUAAGUUUACACGAAUACGGAUUCAAUGAGGUCAAAUUAUUAAUUGCGAGUAACUAAUUCAUCAAGACCGUUUCAUUCACUACUUUGACCAAAUUUAACUAUACUGGUUGCUAAAAUCGCAAUAUUUAUCUUUCAUUAAUGAUUAAACGAAAAACAAUCAUAUUUUAGAUUUUUUUAUAUAUCUGGUAGAUAGUGCUCCCUUAAAUGCAAAAUAUUUAAAUAUAUUUAUAAAAUAAUCAAAAUUUAGUAUAGAAUCAUGGAUUGAUUAGGAUAUUGCUGAGUUAUAAAAUUGCAUAAACGAAGAAAAUCAAAAUAGUUCUGAAUUGACCGAAAUUUUAAUUUAUUACUGUUUGAUUAAUUCAAACAUUAGAACUCGUGUGUAUUUUCUAAUUCUUGUUUGGUUAGUGAUUGAGGAAAAACAUCAUGUACUAAAAAGGAUGUGUUACGGCAACUACGUUUAUAAAUACCGUAUAAGGUCACUAGCACACUAUAUAACUGAUAAUACAUGUUUUAAUUGUCAUAUUUUCGUAUUUUCGUGUAGCACAGGCCUCAGUAUCAAAUAAGGUGGUAGCUGACAAUGAAUCUUUAAGUUCAAGAUCUACUGACGAUGAAGCUGGAGAUAUUUCGAAUACGAGUGACGCAGUGCUUAAAGAUGAAGGUGAUUAUUUUUUCCAAAAUUAUCAAGAAUAUCUUCCGUUUUCUUAAAAUGUCCUGUACCAAGUCAGAAAUGGCAUUUGCUAUCUAAUAGUUUGUUUCUGUGUGUGUUGCAUGUCUUGCAUCUUUUUUUUUUUUGGGGGAGGGUAUUUUUUUGCACUCAGUGUAUCUGUUGUUUCGUAUUUUUUAAAAAGUUCAUGUGUUUACCUCAGUUUAGAUUGUUUCCUCUCAUCGAUUUAUGAAUUUGACAGCAGUAUACUGCUGUUGCCUUUAUUUGACGAAUAAGGUUAAUAUUUGUUUUAUAACAAAAACGUUAUGAUUUAAUGGACCAAGAAAAACAAGACACAAAAACGUUAUGAAAUUUAAUGGACCAAGAAAAAACAAGACAGCUUUAAAUGAUGUAAAAUGGAUAAGGUUAAUAUUUGUUCAUAUAAAACAAAAACGUUAUGAAAUUUAAUGGACAAAGAAAAACAAGACAGCUUUAAAUGAUUUAAUGAAUUGGAAUAUAAAAAAGAGUGUGAUAUGAUUGCCAAUGAGACACCUAUCAUAAAAGACCAAUGACACAGAAUUAACAACUAUAGUUCCCUGUUGUUUGUUGAGUAAAUUUAUAAUUUUUUAUUUCGUUUUGUCCUUUCAGUACCAUAUGGAGUUUUUCAAUUAUGUCCCAUAUUUUUAUUUUUGUAUUCUCUUUCGUUUUUUUUUUUUUGUUUUUUUUUCUUUUUUUCUUUUGGUUCGUAUAGAGGCUAUUUUUUUUUUUUUUCUGAUGAUUUUUGUAAUUCAGGUGCAUCUUUCAGGUUUUUCUUGUCUUAGAAGACACCGAGAGGUGUCGGAUUGAUCAAAUGAAAGACUGACCGUAGGGAGGUCUUUCUUUGGGCAAUUCUGACAGCCGUGGUCGUGUGGUCUAGCGCGCCGGAUACAGUGCAGGCGAUUAUCACGAUAUCUCAAAAGCAUGGGUUCGAAUCCCGGCGAGGGAAGAACUAAAUAUUUGCGAAAGCAAAUAUACAGAUCUGAAAUUGUUGCGGACAGUUUAGUACCUACACUAUAUAUCUGAGCAUGCAAAUCUUGUAGAUUCUUUUUUUAAUCUUUAUAAAAUGUGGCGUUUUGUUAUUCAUCAAUCAAUUUUUAUAUUAGGUGUAAACCCUCAAAACGUGCAUGGUGCCUUGGUGGCCGAGUCGUCUAUUUAGUUACUAAUGUAAUCACUAGCCAGUCAACACUGAUGUUGUGAUUUUGAACCUCACUCGUGCCUAAACCUAAACCGAUUGUCAGUUUUUCUAUGGAGGGUCGGUCGUUUUCUACGGGCACUCCGGCUUCCUUCACCAAAAAAAUUGACCGCCACGAAAUAGCCUAAACGCGGUGCUGAAAAGUGGCGUAAAAACAACAAAAACAAAAUCAAAAGGUUUAUCUGUUUUUUUCUUUAUUUGAUAUCGUGUAAUAAUGUGAUGUUGAUAACAUAAUUUUGGUAGUCGUGGUUCUUUUGGUCAGAGCUAGUGCAGUUUUUAGUUAUUAGCGCUCAAUAAACUAAAGCUUAACAAACAUAAAAUAAAAAAGCAAGUACAGGUUUAAAAAAACGUUGAUUGAUUUAUAAACACCUAAAAUUGUUCAAAUUUUACUUUACCAGAUGCGGUUCCGAAAUGUCGUGUCUUCAAUGCGAAUCAAUACAAACAUAUUUGGAUAGAAUUAAUAUUAACAAACGUUGAACAGAUACAUAUGUCAUUAAAAAAGGGACCCAAAGAAUUGACCAAUCCGGUCUAGGAAUGAAAAUUAAGCAGAUUUAUUUCCAAUAGCCAAUUAUGGAUACUAUAACAUUUUGUUUGCAAUUAAAACUAAUCAAAAAGUAAAAUCACAAAAAAAUUAACUCCGAGGAAAAUUCAAAACGGAAAGUCCCUAAUCAAAUGCUUAAAUAAAUGAUAAAACACAUCAAACUAAUGGACAAAUAGCAAUCACACAAUAAAAGAACCUAUUCAUUUUCCCUUUGUUGAGGAUGAAAAAUAACUCAUAUGUUCCUUAUGUCGUAACUACAAUCCGCUUUUUUUUUCACGAAAUACACUAUUUAUAAGGUGUGUAAUUAUACUAGCAACACGACGGGUGACAAAUGUCUCGUGUCUGUUUGUCCUUUUCUUUUCUUUUUUUUUGUCAUUGCGUUGUCAGUUUGUUUUCGAUCUAUGAGGUUGACUGUCCCUCUGAUAUCUUUUGGCACUUUUAAAUAUAAAUGGUAUUGUGAAAGAACUCAACCAAUAAACUUAAUGAGACAUUUAAGACACUUCAAAUAAAACGAAAUAAUAGACAUUUGCUUAAUAGUGAAGAAGCAAUUAUUAAGAAAACGAACAAGUAGUCCGUUAUGAAAAGAAAAGAAGGAUAACUCGACAUCUUACAUCAUGUCAUUUCAUAUAUGAUCAUACCAAAAAUAAGCAAAAGAAAUCAUACAUACUCACUUUACAUUGGACAAACAAGAACUUGCCUUGGAGUGUGGUAUUUUUGUUAGAUAAUUAUUACAAAUUAACACAGCGAUAUUUUAAAGCAUGCUUGUUUUAAAUAUACUUGGGGUCCGAUGUCAACAUAUUAACGUUAGCAUCGUUAUAUACCAAUAAAAUGCGUAAAGGCGAUUCAACUACUAGUUUUCAUGUAUAAUCAAAAUGAUUUGAGCCCUUUACAUUACUAUGGACAACGAAAAAGCUAUAUUCACACUUGGUCCUUAUGAAUAUUCUCUUUGUCAAAGGAAAGAGGGAAGUAAGAUACCAGAGGGACAGUCAGACUCAUAAAUCGAAAAUAAACUGACAACGUCUGGCUAAAAAUGUAAGAAGACAAACAGACAAACAAAAGAACACAUAAAACAACAUACAAAACUAAAGAUAAAGCAAGACGAAUCCCACCAAAAACUAGGGGUGAUCUCAGGUGCUCCGGAAAGGUAAGCGAUCCUGCUCCACAUGUGGCAGCCUUAGACUUGCUUAUGUUAAAACAAAUCCGGUAAAUAGUCUAAUUCGGAAGGUCCAAUUCGUGAAAGGGAAGGGGAUUGUAGUUACAACGUAAGGAACAUAUCCGAUAUCAUUUGUUUGACGGUUAUUCCAUAACGGUCAACCAAUUCGUGAUGGCGUCCGUAAAAUUUAAGAAGUGAUGAUUUUAACUUCACCAUUUGGAACUCCUGGUUUAAUAGCUUCCUUGUGACCAGCAACCCUCUAUCAAGAAAAUAAUGAUAGGUAAUGCAAACACGCAAAUACGAAUAUUGUAUCAAUGAGGAGAUAUAUACCCCGUAUACAGGUGCUGCUGGAAUGUUGCUACAUAGAAAUGGAAAGUUCACAAUUUAAAAGCUGAAAUCAUCUCUUUUAUCGUUAAGUUUUGUUUUCAACCGACCCUCAUUGUCAAUUUCUAGAUGUAAGUCAAGAUAUGAGGCCGACUUAACUGUAUCUGUUGUAUCCUUUAUAUCUAGUUCGAUUGGAUAGAUGCGUGCAACACUCAUGUCUUUAUACGUUUCUUAAAUAUUGAUAAAUAACACAACAAUUUACGUUCUGGACAUAUAUACAAAUAAAAUCUCAUCUGAACUGGUAUAGUCAAACAAUUGCGCAGAGGGUUCGAAAUCACGACGGAAGUAUAGAGAGCAAAUAUAUAAAUACAUUAUGAUAUUUUAACACAAUUGAUUUUAUAGCUGUCAUUAUCUUUCUUAUAGCUUUCAAUAAUCCAGCUCUGUACGAUGAAUUUUAUAGUGAGCUGGAAUCCGGAGGCGUUACCACAACAGAGGCCUCGAUAGAAGAAAUAUUGAAUAAGUGGGAAACAGAAGAAGUACAAUUUGGAAUUGUCGGUCGGCCUGCAAUGGGGA